GGAGAGAAUCCUAAGGCGCGCGAGAGAACCCUCGUUAAGGAACUCGGCAAAAUUACCCCGUAACUUCGGGAUAAGGGGUGCCCCGUUAUCGUGAGCAGAUUUACUCUGCAAAGCGAGAGGGGGCCGCAGUGAAUAGGCCCAAGCGACUGUUUAGCAAAAACACAGGUCUCUGCUAAGCCGCAAGGCGAAGUAUAGGGGCUGACGCCUGCCCAGUGCUGGAAGGUUAAGGGGAUGGGUUAGCCGUAAGGCGAAGCUCUGAACCGAAGCCCCAGUGAACGGCGGCCGUAACUAUAACGGUCCUAAGGUAGCGAAAUUCCUUGUCGGGUAAGUUCCGACCCGCACGAAAGGCGUAACGAUUUGGGCGCUGUCUCAACGAGGGACUCGGUGAAUUUGUAGUACCUGUGAAGAUGCAGGUUACCCGCGACAAGACGGAAAGACCCCGUGGAGCUUUACUGCAGCCUGAUAUUGAUCUUUGGUGUUAGAUGUACAGGAUAGGUGGGAGACUGAGAAUUCAGGGCGCCAGUCUUGUUGGAGUCGCCGGUGGGAUACCACCCUUCUAAUAUCGGAGCUCUAACCGUGGUCCGUGAUCCGGAUCCGGGACAUUGUCAGGCAGGCAGUUUGACUGGGGCGGUCGCCUCCUAAAGAGUAACGGAGGCGCCCAAAGGUCUCCUCAGAAUGGUUGGAAAUCAUUCGCAGAGUGUAAAGGCACAAGGAGGCUUGACUGCGAGACAUACAGGUCGAGCAGGCACGAAAGUGGGGCUUAGUGACCCGGCGGUUCUGAGUGGAAGGGCCGUCGCUCAACGGAUAAAAGCUACCCCGGGGAUAACAGGCUUAUCUCCCCCAAGAGUCCACAUCGACGGGGAGGUUUGGCACCUCGAUGUCGGCUCAUCGCAUCCUGGGGCUGUAGUAGGUCCCAAGGGUUGGGCUGUUCGCCCAUUAAAGCGGUACGCGAGCUGGGUUCAGAACGUCGCGAGACAGUUCGGUCCCUAUCUGUCGUGGGCGUAGGAGAUUUGAGGAGUGCUGCUCCUAGUACGAGAGGACCGGAGUGGACAGACCGCUGGUGUACCAGUUGUCCUGCCAAGGGCAGCUCUGGGUAGCCACGUCUGGCAUGGAUAAGCGCUGAAGGCAUCUAAGCGCGAAGCCAUCUCCAAGAUAAGAUCUCCCAUCCCAUAAGGGAGUAAGACCCCAGGUAGACCACCUGGUUGAUAGGCCGGAAGUGUAAUGGCAGCAAUGCCUUAAGCGGACCGGUACUAAUAGGUCGAGGACUUGACCUA
rnacentral:rRNA from 1 species